rnacentral:miRNA from 1 species
UCACUCCUCUCCUCCCGUCUUCUU